rnacentral:rRNA from 1 species
GGAGGGUGCAAGCGUUAUCCGGAUUCACUGGGUUUAAAGGGUGCGUAGGCGGGUAUUUAAGUCAGUGGUGAAAUCCUAGAGCUUAACUCUAGAACUGCCAUUGAUACUAUUUAUCUUGAAUAUUGUGGAGGUAAGCGGAAUAUGUCAUGUAGCGGUGAAAUGCUUAGAUAUGACAUAGAACACCUAUUGCGAAGGCAGCUUACUACGCAUAUAUUGACGCUGAGGCACGAAAGCGUGGGGGGAUCAAACAGGAUUAGAUACCCUGGUAGUCCACGCCCCUAAACGAUGGAUACUCGACAUACGCGAUACACUGUGUGUGUCUGAGCGAAAGCAUUAAGUAUCCCACCUGGGAAGUACGACCGCAAGGUUG